CAGUAGCCACGGUAAUACGGAGGGUGCAAGCGUUAAUCGGAAUUACUGGGCGUAAAGCGCACGCAGGCGGUCUGUUAAGUCAGAUGUGAAAUCCCCGGGCUUAACCUGGGAACUGCAUUUGAAACUGGCAGGCUUGAGUCUUGUAGAGGGGGGUAGAAUUCCAGGUGUAGCGGUGAAAUGCGUAGAGAUCUGGAGGAAUACCGGUGGCGAAGGCGGCCCCCUGGACAAAGACUGACGCUCAGGUGCGAAAGCGUGGGGAGCAAACAGGAUUAGAUACCCGUGUAGUCCCUGUCUCUUAUAC
rnacentral:rRNA from 1 species